UACGUAGGGGGCAAGCGUUGUCCGGAAUCAUUGGGCGUAAAGCGCGCGUAGGCGGCCCGAUAAGUCCGCUGUGAAAGUCAACGGCUCAACUGUUGAACGCCGGUGGAUACUGUCGGGCUAGAGUCCGGAAGAGGCAAGUGGAAUUCCUGGUGUAGCGGUGAAAUGCGCAGAUAUCAGGAGGAACACCAAUAGCGAAGGCAGCUUGCUGGGACGGUACUGACGCUAAGGCGCGAAAGCGUGGGGAGCGAACAGG
rnacentral:rRNA from 1 species